UUAAUGACUCUCGGCAACGGAUAUCUCGGCUCUCGCAUCGAUGAAGAACGUAGCGAAAUGCGAUACUUGGUGUGAAUUGCAGAAUCCCGUGAACCAUCGAGUUUUUGAACGCAAGUUGCGCCCAAAGCCAUUUGGUUGAGGGCACGUCUGCCUGGGCGUCACGU
rnacentral:rRNA from 2 species